rnacentral:rRNA from 1 species
ACCGGUACCAAAUCGAGACAAACUCUGAAUACCCAGAGCACACAUUGCCAGUGAGACAGUGGGGGAUAAGCUUCAUUGUCAAGAGGGAAACAGCCCAGACCACCAGCUAAGGUCCCCAAUCAUCGCUAAGUGAUAAAGGAGGUGAGAGUGCACAGUACAACUAGGAGGAUUUGCCUAGAAGCCAGCCACCCUUGAAAGAGUGCGUAACAGCUCACUGGUCGAGUGACACGGCGCCGACAAUCCAACGGGGCAAAGUACACUGCCGAAGCUCGGGGAUACAGGCUUUUGCCUGGAUCGGUAGGGGAGCGUCGAUACUGGAGCGAAGCUACAGCGUAAGCCCGUAGUGGACUGGUAUCGAGUGCGAAUGUCGGAAUGAGUAACAGAGAAGUGGGGUGAGAACCCCCACCGCCGAAAGCCUCAGGGUUCCGCCGCACGGGUGAUCCGCGGCGGGUUAGUCGGGCCUAAGGGUGUGGCGAAUCGUCACAACCGAUGGACAGCAGGUUUUUAUUCCUGCACCACGUGUAUCGAUGAACGCGCGGGAUACAGACAGGUAGUACCAGCGGCGAGACGAGCGCCGUCCAAGCCGGUAGCGCCUUCGGGCGUGAGAGGUGAGAGCGAGUAGACGCAGCAAUGCAUCUGCGAGUGGUGUGAGCCUCUGCUGGCGAGAAAGGCCUGCGCGGGAGAAAAGCGUGACCGUACCGCAAACCGACACAGGUAGGCAGGCUGAGCAAGCCAAGGCGGACGAGUAAUCCCUGGUUAAGGAACUCGGCAAUUUACGCGCGUACCUUCGGUAGAAGCGCGCCUGCUGCUGGUGACCACCUUUACGGUGUGAGCUGGCGGCAGGGACACAAACUAGGCCCAGGCGACUGGAUAUCAGAACCACAGGUCCCUGCUGAAGUCGUAAGACGACGUAUAGGGGCUGAUGCCUGCCCAGUGCCGGAAGGUUAAGGGGAGCGGUUAACGCUGCGAACCGAAGCCCCGGUGAACGGCGGCCUGUAACUAUAACGGUACCUAAGUAGCGAAAUUCCUUGUCGGGUAAGUUCCGACCCGCACGAAGGCGUAACGAUCAUGGAUGGUG